rnacentral:rRNA from 1 species
AGAGUUUGAUCCUGGCUCAGAAUCAACGCUGGCGGCGCGCUUAACACAUGCAAGUCGCACGAGAAAGGGGAGCAAUCCCUGAGUACAGUGGCGUACGGGUGAGUAACACGUGGAUGAUCUACCUUCUAGUGGGGAAUAACCCUGGGAAACCGGGGCUAAUACCGCAUAAGCUCGAGAGAGGAAAGCAGCAAUGCGCUGGAAGAGGAGUCCGCGGCCGAUUAGCUAGUUGGCAGGGUAAAAGCCUACCAAGGCAGAGAUCGGUAGCCGGCCUGAGAGGGCACACGGCCACACUGGCACUGAAACACGGGCCAGACUCCUACGGGAGGCAGCAGUGGGGAAUCUUGCACAAUGGGGGAAACCCUGAUGCAGCGACGCCGCGUGAGCGAUGAAGCCCUUCGGGGUGUAAAGCUCUUUCGGCAGGGAAGAUGAUGACGGUACCUGCAGAAGCAGCUGCGGCUAACUACGUGCCAGCAGCCGCGGUAAUACGUAGGCAGCGAGCGUUGUUCGGAGUUACUGGGCGUAAAGGGUGUGUAGGCGGUUGUUUAAGUUUGGUGUGAAAUCUCCCGGCUCAACUGGGAGGGUGCGCCGAAUACUGAAUGACUUCGAGUGCGGGAGAGGAAAGUGGAAUUCCUGGUGUAGCGGUGAAAUGCGUAGAUAUCAGGAGGAACACCGGUGGUGUAGACGGCUUUCUGGACCGUAACUGACGCUGAGACACGAAAGCGUGGGUAGCAAACAGGAUUAGAUACCCUGGUAGUCCACGCCCUAAACGAUGCAUAUUUGGUGUGGGCAGUUCAUUCUGUCCGUGCCGGAGCUAACGCGUUAAAUAUGCCGCCUGGGGAGUACAGUCGCAAGGCUGAAACUCAAAGGAAUUGACGG